GCGUUUUUCUAGCGAGCUUGGGAUAGUGAAAGCCAAGUAGAGCAAAAUGAGCAGUGGCGCUUUCUAUCAGCAAAUAGCUGAAGACAAACAGAUAAAAUGAAGUAAUAAAUUAGGGUGGAACCGCGUUUCUGACG
rnacentral:sRNA from 18 species